GUAGCGUUUGAGAGAGCAAAAAUGGUCCGUUUUGGGAGUCGUUAUCGUAGGGCGUCGAGGAGCGAGAUGCAGGCUGGUCUCGCCCCCUUGACAAAAGAGGUGUCAGAAAUCACGAGCAAGGCGAACCGAAGGGCGCCCGGUCUAUCGCUGGUACAUCCACGGUGACCAUGCGCUCGGACGACGAUGGGUAAAGGAAGUCCGGAGAAAGGCCCGUGUUGUCAGACGCAGCGAAAGAGAACGUGCGCGAGAGCGCCGUGUCCAUCGGGGGGAAGGUUUAGGCCCGAACCUCGGCAACCAGUAAGCGUGUGCGUGACGGGGAACGGUCGUUGGUGUGUGCGACCGGGCGGGAGGGUUUAGCAGCAGGCGGGGGACGCGCGCCGUGUCUUCCCCGGGCUAUAUCCCUUCCGUCUUGAACGAACGAACGAUUCGGUGGCGACGAUACCAGGUUGAUCCUGCCUGUAGUCUUAUGCUUGUCUUGAGGGUUAAGCCAUGCACGCCUACGCUCACCCUGCACAGAAGGGGAAGCCGCGAACUGCUCAGUAUAUCGGCGAUAAUACACGGGGUGGGCGAUGUUUGUCCCGGACACCUGUAGGAAUUCCAGAGCUAAUACGUGCACACGAGUCCUCCUCCCAGCGGGGUUUCGGCUCCGCCGGGAGAGGGCGCAUUUAUUAGGAUCUCGACCGGCGGCGGGCGGUUUUCCGUCCGCCAGGCUGAGGCGAACUCUGGGUAUGUGACGACCGCUUUCUAGCGGCGUGCCCGUUUGCUCGCCGUCCCAUCAAAUUUAGACGGCCCGGGCAAGAGCCCCCCGUGUUGGCUACGGGUGACGGAGGAUCAGGGUUCGAUCCCGGAGAGGGAGCCUGCGAGACGGCUACCACGCUUAAGGGUGGCAGCAGGCGCGCAACUUACCCACUCCCAGCACGGUGAGGUAGUGAAGAUAAAUGUCGGGGCUGGGCUCGCAUGCGAGCCUAGCGGUCGGAUUGAGCGUAGACCAAACACGUGCCGUUGAUGACCUAUCGGAGGGCAAGCCUGGUGCCAGCAGCCGCGGUAAUUCCAGCUCCGGUAGCGUAUGUUGUAGUUGCUGCGUUUAAAACGCUCGUAGUUGGAUCUCUGAGGUGACGGCAGCGACAAACCGCGGGCGGCGUUGUCCCGGCGUCUAUGCACCGUCGCGGCUAAGGGGAUGGAGCGAGCGGCGCCUCCGGUGCCGCGGCCGGACCCUCGCGACGGACCUCGCCGGGCAUCGCUCGCCCGUCGCUGUCGGGUUUAGCUUCUUUCCGUCCUGAGCCGCGCCGGCCCGGUACGUGGCGUAUCCGGGCUGGCGCUGAGGUACGGGCGGUGUUCUCCCUGAAUCAAUUGGAGUGCUCAAAGCAGGUCGUGCUCGCACAGCUUUGCUCGGAACGAUGUGAUGACGCCACCGUCCCGCAAAAUUAACACGGGCCCGGUCGCCGUGGGGACGGUGGGCGAGGUCUACAGAGACGGCCGGGGGGCGGCGUACUACCGCGGGAGGGGUGGAAUCCGACGAUCGCGGUGGGACGAACGAGAGCGAAGGCACCGGCCAAGAGCGCCUUCGUUGAUCAUGAACGAAAGUCGGAGGAACGAACGCGAUCAGGUACCGCGGUAGUUCCGACAGUAAACCAUGCCGACCGGUUACGCGGGGACGUCCCCAGUGGGGAAGCCUCGCGAGGCCCCGGAGAAAUCAGAGUGCCUGGGCUCCGGGGGGAGUACGGUCGCAAGGCUGAAACUUAAAGGAAUUGACGGAAGGGCACCACCAGGAGUGGAGCCUGCGGCUCAAUUUGACUCAACACGGGGAAGCUUACCAGGUCCGGACACCGCGUGGAUUGACAGACUGAGGCUCUUUCAUGAUUCGGUGGGUGGUGGUGCAUGGCCGUUGCUAGCCCGUGGAGCGAUCCGUCUGGUUCAUUCCGAUAACGGGCGAGACUCUUCCCUGGCGGAUAACGAACGGUGGUCGUCGGGUCUGGCGUCGCAACUUCUCUUCGGGGGAGGGGUGGCGCCACGGACCGCCGUCGCGCAGGCCGCGUCCUGCAGGGAUUGACCUCGAGCAGUGCGUACGAGAUGGAGCCA
rnacentral:rRNA from 1 species